GGGAUGUAGCUCAGUGGUAGGGCGUCUGCUUUGCAUGCAGAAGGUCCCGGGUUCAACCCCUGGCAUCUGCA